rnacentral:lncRNA from 1 species
ACAGGAGUUCCCGGGCCUGCGUUCCUGGGCCGGGAUGACUCAGGGAGUCGUCUGCCAGAGUCCCGCGGGCCCCGAAGCCACAUCUCGCCCGGCGACCCAGUCCCCAGCCCAGGCCCUCGGGUUUCGGCGCCACGCGCACCAACAACCCAGACGCGCCCCCCAGCCACGUCCGAAGCUCCUCACCAAACCAUAGUGCUCUCCAACACCAUCUUGCCUCCUUCCCUCUGCGGACCGGCUCCGGGACUGACAAACAACAGCACCUCCGAUUGGCCUGGUGCUCAUCACCAAUCAAAGAACUCAGUCUUCAUGCUGCCCCGCCUCCGCGCCCCGCGGUGUGUUCUGGGACUUGUAGGCGCCACAGAAAUGGAAAGGUUGGUUAUCCAAUAGAGUUGGCUACCUUCGCAGCAGCUUCCGGAACAGCUGUAAGCUCUCUGCACUCGCCUGGCAGCAACACUCCAGUGUGAGGCAGGAGAGCUGUAAUUUACCCCCUCUUCUGCUCUCUUUCUUUUGUAUAUUUGGGUUUUUGAUUUGUUUUUGUUGUUACGGUUUGAAAAAGGAUGACAGCAAUUCGCUGUGGAGCUCAGGCUAAUAAACUCUAUUGCU